rnacentral:tRNA from 1 species
CAAAUUAAAGCUUGUAUAGCAUUUUAUUUACAUUAAAAAGAAUAUUAGAAAUAAUAUAAUUUGA